UUCUCUUUUUCCGAGAACUCCGUGACUGUGGAGGUCACAGCUCGAGCAGGACCCUGGGCUCCCCACCUGGAGGCUGAGCUGUGGCCGUCCCAGUCCCGGCUCUCCCUGUUGCCAGGACACAAGGUCUCCUUUCCCUGCUCGGCUGGCCGGAUACAAAGGUCACCCCCGAAGCCGCCUGGAAGUUCCAGCUCCGAGUUCCCUGGGACCACUUUUUGAGAUGUUAGGGACCCGCUCCAGAGCCCCCUCUGGGUCACCCUGGGUUCCUCCAGCCCCACUGAGUCACUCACUGUGGACCCUGCCUCUGAAUAAUCAGGAACGUUGGCUUCAGAGAUGUCUCUUGGGCCUUCCCUCUGGCCACUCCUUCUUCACCCACCCCUCCUGGGCACCCUCCCAGCCUGCCAUCCCUCACCUGCAGCCAGACUCUCAGGGAAGGUCCAUGCUGCUUGGCCUGAGUUCAAGGCUUUCUGCCUGUAGCCUGGACUCCCAUGGACCCCCGUGGGCAGGUGGCUUCCCCGUGGCAUCCCCACGCCGCCUCUGCCUGCCCCUGUGGACUGACGCUGUCACGCACCGUCCCAUGCCACCACCCCGAGCUCCUGACACCAGGGUCUGAGCCUGCAUCACCUCUGGCCUCUCAUCCCCCACUCUCCUGAGAGCCGUGGUCACAGCAGCCAGCUGCUCUGCUGAGAAGGCAGAGAAGCAGGCACAGGCCUCAGCCUGGACAGCAGGGAUAAGGGGCACGAAGGAAGGGGACUCGGCCCCUUCGGAAUUCCUCAAGACUCUCAGGUGCAGCUUUGCCAAAAAGGAACUUUUCAUGUCAUGCA